CAGCCGCAGUCACAGCCUCAGCCGCAGCGGCCGUGCUACCUAGGUGAUAGCGGAGCGGCUGGGUAGGAAGCAAUUGUUCUCAAACUUCACUAGCCCCGUCGGCGCGGACGCUUGUCGAGAAUGCAGAUUCCUGGGUACUGCCAGAUACGGUUGGUGAUCUUGUAGGGCUGGAGUGGAAGCCAUGAAUCUGCAUUUUCAUCAUUUCUGGCCCUCUGCCCGGGCUGGGGUGAUUCACGGGGAUUCGUAGUGGCCCCAAAGGAGCACGCAGAACCUCGGCUGCUGUGCAUUUAUCACCUCUUUUGUUCCCGGAGGCCGCACCCCAGGUCCAGUUUACACAGCUGCCAACUCCUUUUCUUGGUUCCCACUGGAAUCUAGGAAGAAAACUCGCCCUUUACUUCUCCGCCCCACACCCGACGACGGAGUGUCUAGAGGUCUGGUCGGCCUUGGCUGUGCGGAGGGCUAGGCCUGACGAGCGGGCGCUGAUGCGGCGCAGACCCCGCCGGACCUCUUGGUCGGCCCGGGAAUUGAGCAUACCACAAAAAAGUUCUCAUUUUGUGUCCUCCCAUCCCAUUCUCCUCACUAACCAAAGGCUAGGAAUUAUCUGUGAAUGUAGGACCACUGGAUUUGCAGUCUUCAUCUGACACUGUGGAGAGUUUCUAGGAAUGAAACAGAUAUAUGGCCUUGGGUCCCCUUUUUUUUUCUUUUUUUUUUUUUUAAUAGAGACGAGCAUCUCACUAUGUUGCCUAGGGUAGUCUUGAACUCCUGGCCUCAAGCAAUCCCCACCCGACUCCGCCUCUCGAAGUGAUGGGAUUACAGGCAUAAACCACCACGCCUGGCCAGAAGGUGCUUUAACACCAAAUCUGAAAAUUGUUCAGAAGAGAAACAUUGAGCAUGAACACCAUCUGUGCGAGUCAUUUACUUAUUGCCCCUCACCUCUAAAUCUACCUUCUGUACUCUUCUUCCCUGUAAUGAUGGGGCUAGUUGUCCUCAAACUGUUUCUCAGACUUCUUUUUAAGCUUGCUUCCUGUUCAGUUCUGCCAAUAGGGGUCACUAGAGAGAGACUGGGAGGCAGAAGGAGAGAAUAUGCUUCCUGUUUUUUCUGUUCUUGUUAAUGUUGCUUACAGGACCAGCAAUGCUUCUUCACCUAGAGACACUUCUCCCAGCAGUGGCAGUGCCACUUCAGCUUCUUUCAGCACUACUGGAAUCAGCCUCAGUGAUUCCCCCUGUACCCGCUCAGAGAUUAUCCACAGCAGCCAGAUGGUUCUACCUUCCACAAAGAUUGUGGUUGCAAUUCUGGGCUUCUAAGUUCUGGUUACUUCAUAUUUUUCCUUUUGUUCCUCCAGCCCUAGAGGUGGUAGCUGCUUUCUGAAGUUAUUAUUUCUAGAUGACUUUUGGUUUUUCAGCCUUUGUAUUUUGCUUUUCAGCCCUCUAAUGCCUGUAUAACCAAUUUCCCUGUAAUAAAUAAAUUUCCUCC
rnacentral:lncRNA from 1 species